rnacentral:lncRNA from 1 species
AAGCUCGUAGUCUCCGGCAGAGUCUUCCAGGGCGGAGGUUAUACCCCUCUCAGCCGGCUGGGCUUAGGAGACGCAGGGGAGAGAGAGAGAGAAUAGGUUAAUUCUUGCUUGCUUCAUUCUUCCCUGGUUACAAGAAUAUAUAGCCAAUGGCUCAACAAACUAUGGAAAGGAAUUCCCUUAAUUAUAGCCUAACCAAAACAACUCCCAAUCUAAUCCCAAUCAAAUCCCUGAUUUUUAGCCACUGGAAGUUGCCCCUUCGGGCUGCUGGAACGCGCGCCCUGCGCGCUCAGCUGCGCGGCGAACGUCGCGGGCGCGCCUGCGCCUUGCGUACGUUUUCCCGCACAUGACAUCUCUCCCCGCCUCGAAGUCCAGCUCGUCCUCGAGCUGAAAGGUCAGAAACCGAGAGCGGAAAUCCUCCAAAUCCUCCCAAGUAGCAGCAGACACUGGCUCGCCCUGCCACUCGACGAGCAGCUGGCGCACGCCCCGGGCGAUUCGUGCCUUCACGACCUUGGCGGGAGCAGGAACAGCAGCCCCGUUCAGGAGAGGGGGCAGUGGGGGCGGCGCUGCAGGUGGGGUGCCGAUGAACUUCCGCAGGACACCGACGUGGAACACAUCGUGCAGGCGAGCUCCAGGCGGCAGCUGGAGGCGGACAGCCACGUCGUUGAUCAACUCCAGGACCUGAUACGGCCCGACAUAGCGAGGCUUGAGCUUCCCCUUGGGCGCGUUGGGGAGGGACGCCGCAGCACGCUGCCGUAGGCGCAGCCAGGCCCAGUCGCCGACCAGGAAGGACACCGGGCGAUGGUGGCGGUCGUAGACGCGCUUCUGCGCCGCCUGAGCCUACUCCAGGCGAUAGCGGACGUCGUCGAGGAAGGCGGCGCGGUCCUCCAUCUCCUGAGCCACCGCGGCCACUCGGGUUUCGCUGGGCUCGUACGAGCGAAUGGUCGGGGGAUCCCGGCCGUAGACCACCCGGAACGGCGUGUCGCGGAGAGAGGACUGGUAGGCGGUGUUGUAGAUAUACUCCGCCCAGGGCAGCCAUCGGAGCCACUGGCGAGGCCGGUCCCCGGAGAAACAGCGCAGGUACAUGACGAUGACGCGGUUGGCGGCCUCGGUCUGGCCGUCCGUCUGCGGGUGGAAGGCGGACGACAUGAAGAGCUUUGUCCCCGUGAGCCGCAUAAGCUCCUGCCAGAACGCGGACGUGAACACCGGGUCGCGGUCUGAGACGAUAGACUGCGGAACGCCAUGUAGACGGACGACGUCGGCGAAGAACGCCUGGGCGACCGAUUCCGCUGUGUAGGGGUGUGCCAGCGGUAUGAAGUGGCAGUACUUGCUGAAGCGGUCGACCACGGAGAGGAUGACCGUCUUGCCCUGCACCUUGGGCAAUGCCUCGAUGAAGUCGAUGCCGAUGUCUGCCCAGACUGCGGACGGCACCGGCAGCGGCUGCAGCAGUCCUGCCGGCCUGAGGUGGUCGGACUUGUACUGCUGGCAGGUACCACAGGCCUGCACGAACGCCUGCACGACUCGGCGCAUGCUGGGGAAGUGGAAGUCGCGCCGGAGGCGAUGGAGAGUGCGGUGGACGCCUUCGUGACCAUCGUUGUGGAUGGCGGCCACGACCUCCUGGAGAAGCGGCGACGUGGGCGGGAUGUACAGGCGGCCGUCGUAGGUCAGCAUACCGUCCACCAGUGCCCAUGGCGCGGCGCGGGCGCCCGAGCGGACCUCGGCGUAGAGGGCGACCGGGGCCGGGUCGGUUGCCUGGGCAUGGCGCAGGCGGUCGAUGAGGUCAAAGCGGGGCGCCGAGAUCGCCAUGGCCUCCCCUUCUUCGGUGUCGCGGCGAGAGAGAGCGUCGGCGAUGACGUUAGUGGCGCCGGAGCGGUAUUCCACCGAGAAGUCGAAGCCCAAGAGCUUGCCGACCCAAUGGUGCUGGGGAAUCGUGGCGAGGCGCUGGUCGAGGAGGUAUUUCAGACUGUAGUGGUCCGUCUUGACGAUGAAGCUCCGCCCCCAGAGGUACGGCCGCCAGUGCCGCACGGCCUGGACGAGGCCGAUGAGCUCGCGCUCGUAGGCGGCCAGCGCGCGGUGACGGGGUGCCACUAGUCGGCUGAAGAACGCGACUGGGUGGCCCUCCUGAGUCAGGACCGCCCCAAACCCGACGGUCGACGCGUCACAUUCGACGGUGAACAGCUUGGUGAAGUCCGGCAUGGCGAGGACGGGGGCGGACGUGACGGCGGCUUUGAGGGCCGCGAACGCCGACGCGGCUGCGUCGUCCCAGGAGAAGCCCUCCUUCUUGAGGAGCGCCGACAGCGGCGCGGCAAGAGCCCCGUAACCGUGGACGAACUUGCGGUAGUAUCCCGCCAGGCCGAGAAACCCGCGGACUGCCCGCACCGAGCGGGGCGCCGGCCAGUCGUGGAUCGCCUGCACCUUGGUUGGGUCCAUGGCCACUCCCGCCGCCGAUAUGACAUGGCCGAGGUAGGCGACCGAGGGCGCGCCAAAAGAACAUUUGGAGCGCUUGACGAAGAGCUGGUGGCGUUGCAGUUCGUCGAGGACGGCCCGAAGGUGGCGGAGGUGGUCAGCCCAUGUCCUGCUGUAAAUGAGAAUAUCAUCAAAAAAUACCAGGACGAAGCGGCGGAGGAACGGCCGGAGCACGUCAUUCAUCAGGGCCUGGAACGUCGCCGGGGCGUUGCACAGCCCGAACGCCAUCACCAGGAACUCGUAGAGGCCGUCGUGGGUGCGGAACGCCGUCUUGUGCACAUCCUCCGGCCUCAUCCGCACCUGGUGGUACCCGGACCGGAGGUCGAGCUUGGUGAAGAACUUGGCGCCGUGGAGCUCGUCGAGGAGCUCGUCAACCACCGGGAUCGGAAAAGCAUCCUUGACGGUGAGCGCAUUGAGCGCCCUGUAGUCGACGCAGAAACGCCACGACCCGUCCGGCUUCUUGACGAGGAGAACCGGCGAUGAGAAGGGCGAGUCGCUGCGACGGACGAUACCCUGCUCGAUCAUAGCGGCGCACUGCCGCUCCAACUCGUCCUUGUGCGCUGCUGGGUACCGAUAAGGCCGGACAGCGACGGGUUGGGCGCCGGCCUUCAGGGUGAUGCGGUGGUCGUACGCGCGUUUGGGGGGCAGACCGGUCGGGUCGGCGAAGAGCCCCCCGUACGCGUGCAGCAGGGCGUCGAGGAGCGGCCCGGCCUCUGACGUGACGCUCAGCGAUGGCACCGUAGGGCAGGCUAUGCCUGUCCAGGAGACAGGGCGCCCGAGGUGCUGGAACGUCAUGCGCCGGCUGCUGAGGUCCCAGACAAUGGGCCCCAACGCGCCCAGCCACCGCGUCCCCAGGACGACGUCGUACCCGGCCAGCGGCAUGACGAAGAGGUCGGCCGGGAACGUGACGCCGUCGAUGAGUAGAGGCGCGUCGCGGAUGACACCGUCGCAGGUGACGCGCUCGCCGUUCGCGACCAAGGCGGUGAGGCGCGGCCGCUGACGCAGGGGAAGGCCGGAACGCCGGGCAGCCGCCGCCGAGAUGAAGUUGUGCGUGCUGCCGGAGUCGAGGAGGGCGACGAGGAUCGCGGCGCCGAGGGACACGCGGAGCUGCAUGGUACCCGCCACCGGCACCCCCGCCACGGCCUGGAGCGAGAAACAGGGAGCCUCGGCGUCGGGCUCGGCUGCUGCGACGUCGUCGGGGGCGUCAUCAAUCUCGACGCCUUCCAGGAAGAAAAUGCGCCUGCAAAAACGGUUAUGGCCGCGGGUAUAUUUCUCAUUGCAGUUGAAACAUAGACCGAGACGGCGACGCUCAGCCAUCUCCUCAGGCGAUAGGCGCCGGUUACCGUCCCCGCGGCCCGGCUGUGCGGCUGCUGGCGGAGCUGGCAAGGCCAGAGGAGGUGGUGGUGGCGGCAGGGCAGCACGGGGCGCAGGCGCCGGCAGAAUGCCCCGCGCAGGAGCUCGUGGCGCGGGCGGCGGCGGCCGCUCAGCCUCCAUCAGCUCGACCUGUCGCGCGAGACUCAUUGCCGCGGCGAGCGAGUCGGGGUUGUGGAGGCGAACGGCAUGACUGAGCGGCGGGAGGAGACCGCCGGUGUAGAGCUGGACGCGCUGCUCCUCGUCCAGGCGACCGGCUCGAGGAAGGAGCGCCUGAAAACGGUUGGAGUACUCUUCGACGGUGCCCGUGCGCCUGCACUCGGCGAGUUCGAACAACGGCGCCGACCUGAGCGGUGGCCCGAACCGCAGGUGCAAGUACUCCUUGAAGCGCGCCCAGGUGGGCGUGCCGGAGUCCUCCUCGAGCUGGUUAUACCACAGCUGCGCGACGCCCUCGAGGUUGUACGAAGCCUGCCACACGCGUUCCUCCGCCAUGGUGCGGUGUUGGCGGAAAUAUGCCUCGCAUUUGUUGAGGAAGAGCAUGGGGUCGGUGGUGCCGUCGAAGCGCGGGAAGUCCCACUUCUUGUGCUUGGGCGGGUAGUCGGUGUGCGGACCUUCCGCGUGCCGGUUGCCGCCGCCGCCGCCGGCGGACGACUCCGACUUCUCCUUCUUCAGUGAGGCCAUAUCGGCCUUCAUGGUCGCCAUGUCGUCGGUGAGGGCCUUGAUGGCCGCCAUGAGGUCGGCUGCGGACGGCUCCGUCAUGCUGGGCGCUAGGGCGACAGGCGCGGACGAGGUGGGUGACGGCGGCGCGGCGGCUGCUGGGUGCUGGGCUGCAGUGGACGAUGAACUGGAGGAGCGGGUGGGAGAGGAUCGACGAGACCGUGAUACCAGGUUGUCAAGGGCGGUGUGGUCUAGGGUAGCUGGCCCUCGACUACGAAGCUCGUAGUCUCCGGCAGAGUCUUCCAGGGCGGAGGUUAUACCCCUCUCAGCCGGCUGGGCUUAGGAGACGCAGGGGAGAGAGAGAGAGAAUAGGUUAAUUCUUGCUUGCUUCAUUCUUCCCUGGUUACAAGAAUAUAUAGCCAAUGGCUCAACAAACUAUGGAAAGGAAUUCCCUUAAUUAUAGCCUAACCAAAACAACUCCCAAUCUAAUCCCAAUCAAAUCCCUGAUUUUUAGCCACUGGAAGUUGCCCCUUCGGGCUGCUGG